rnacentral:ncRNA from 1 species
CAAAGGCUUGGUCCUGACUUUACUACCAGCUUUAGCCGAACUUACACAUGCAAGUAUCCGCACCCCUGUGAGAAUGCCCACAGUUCCCCGCCCGGGAACAAGGAGCUGGUAUCAGGCACAUUUUCAGCCCAUGACACCUUGUUUAGCCACACCCCCAAGGGAACUCAGCAGUGAUAAAUAUUAAGCCAUGAGUGAAAACUUGACUUAGUAAAAGCUAAAAGGGCCGGUAAAACUCGUGCCAGCCACCGCGGUUAUACGAGAGGCCCAAGUUGAUAGUUUACGGCGUAAAGAGUGGUUAGGAAAAAAUUAACACUAAAGCCGAAUGCCCUCAAAGCUGUUAUACGCAUCCGGAGGCAAGAAGUUCAACCACGAAAGUGGCUUUAUUAAACCCUGAACCCACGAAAGCUAGGAAACAAACUGGGAUUAGAGACCCCACUAUGCCUAGCCGUAAACAUUGAUAGAGUAACACACCCCCUAUCCGCCUGGGAACUACGAGCACCAGCUUAAAACCCAAAGGACUUGGCGGUGCUUUAGAUCCUUCUAGAGGAGCCUGUUCUAGAACCGAUAACCCCCGUUCAACCUCACCUUUCCUUGUUUUCCCCGCCUAUAUACCGCCGUCGUCAGCCCACCCUGUGAAGGUUCAAAAGUAGGCAAAAUUGGCAAAGCCCAGAACGUCAGGCCGAGGUGUAGCGUAUGGGAAGGGAAGAAAUGGGCUACAUUCCCUAUUUUAGGGUAUACGAAUGAUCUACUGAAACGUAGAUCUUGAAGGAGGAUUUAGCAGUAAGCGGGAAAUAGAGCGUCCCGCUGAAAUUGGCUCUGAAGCGCGCACAUACCGCCCGUCACUCUCCCCAAACACAUCACCCUAACUAUUUAAAACCUUAGAGCAAUAAAGGGGAGGCAAGUCGUAACAUGGUAAGUGUACCGGAAGGUGCACUUGGACUAAUAAC